UACAUAGGGUGCGAGCGUUAAUCGGAAUUACUGGGCGUAAAGCGUGCGCAGGCGGUUUUGUAAGCCAGAUGUGAAAUCCCCGGGCUUAACCUGGGAAUGGCGUUUGAAACUACGGAGCUGGAGUGUGGCAGAGGGAGGUAGAAUUCCACGUGUAGCGGUGAAAUGCGUAGAUAUGUGGAGGAAUACCGAUGGCGAAGGCAGCCUCCUGGGCCAACACUGACGCUCAUGCACGAAAGCGUGGGGAGCAAACAGG
rnacentral:rRNA from 1 species